GAGCGCGACAACUUCAGCAGCUCAUAUACUGAUAGUGGACCAAUACAGACAAGGUUAGCAUGGCCCUUGCAUCAGGAUGACAUGCAAAUUUGUGAAGCAUUUCAUUUUUUA